rnacentral:rRNA from 1 species
UACAGAGGUCUCAAGCGUUGUUCGGAAUCACUGGGCGUAAAGGGUGCGUAGGCCGCGUGGUAAGUCAGAGGUGAAAUCCCGGAGCUCAACUUCGGAAUUGCCUCCGAUACUGCCGUGCUUGAGGACUGGAGAGGAGUCUGGAAUUCACAGUGGAGCAGUGAAAUGCGUAGAUAUUGUGAGGAACACUAGUUGCGAAGGCGAGACUCUGGACAGUUCCUGACGCUGAGGCACGAAGGCCAGGGGAGCAAACGGGAUUAGAUACCCCGGUAGUCCUGGCAGUAAACGGUGCACGCUUGGUGUGGCGGGAUUCGACCCCUGCCGUGCCGGAGCAAACGCGUUAAGCGUGCCGCCUGGGAAGUACGGUCGCAAGAUUA